GGAAGAUGAAGAAAAAUCACCGGAGGAAUGCAGCUGGAAGGUGAAAGGGCGCCGGAAUGCGAUGGGAGGUGAUUCGCCAGGGAGAAAAAGUUUUGGAGUUUGAGAAGAAGAAGCGGCGGAGGAUGCAGAUAUUUAAAGGCGGUUCGAGAGAAGGGUAAAGGCGGGAUUUUUACCGCGCCGUCUACACGAAUUUUGGGAAGAGCAGUUGCCUAUGGGCGCCUGGUUAGAAAAAUUGCAAUCAUCAGAAAGAAGACUGCGGAGUGAAAAGGAGCUUUCGCCAUGCUUACUGUUGUGUUUUCUUCAGGGAAGGAGUUAAAGUUGAAAAGUUUCGAAGCAAAAGUUGUGUUUCUUUUCAAAACAGGGGGGGCAUGUGUUGACGC
rnacentral:lncRNA from 1 species